rnacentral:rRNA from 1 species
UACGUAGGGUGCGAGCGUUAAUCGGAAUUACUGGGCGUAAAGCGUGCGUAGGCGGUUCGUUGUGUCUGUGGUGAAAGCCCCGGGCUUAACCUGGGAAUGGCCAUGGAAACUGGCGAGCUGGAGUGUGGCAGAGGGGGGUGGAAUUCCGCGUGUAGCAGUGAAAUGCGUAGAGAUGCGGAGGAACACCGGUGGCGAAGGCGGCAUCCUGGACCAACACUGACACUGAGGAGCGAAAGCUGGGGGAGCAAACGGG